rnacentral:misc_RNA from 1 species
ACSACUGNARAGGGUUWNAUUCACUCCCGCNKGKCCAGACGCUCCUUGCGUCCUUAGCUCGCAUUUUGGCCAACCGCGUGCGGGAACACMCGGGAGAUUUUUUUCCGUCCCAUGGCCUCUGGAGGAUGGGGGGACAACKAUUUGUGMNCCCARGCAAACGUGCCCUCGGCCUGAAGGCUUGGGGCCCAACUUGCGUUCAAAGACACAAUGGUUCWCGGGAUUCUGCAAUUCGCACAAAGUAUCGCAUUUCGCUACCUUCUUCAUCGAUGCGAGAGCCCAGAUAUCCGUUGCCAASAGUCGUUUUAGACUUUAUUUUUGUGAAUUASCGACCCCNUAAAACCCGUCUCCGGGUUGGCGAACKUGGCUGUUUACCUGYAUGUU